ACUCGAUGGACAGGGGUUUGGGUAAGCUCCGGGAGUUGGUGAUGGACAGGGAGGCCUGAUGUGUUGCAGUUCAUGGGGUUGCAAAGAGCUGGACAUGACUGAGUGACUGAACUGAACUGAACUCCAUGAUGAGUGAGAAGGGAUGAGGCACUGUGGCCCCAUGACAAUCCUGAAUAAAAGGAUUUUCCCUCAAUACAUUACAGAGGGAAAGAAAGGGACCUUAUAUUUCAUAGUCCAGUCCUGUGCUUAGGAGUUCACUUGAGUUGUUUAUAUAAUCCCACCAAAAGUCUAGCAAGUGAUGCAUUAAUUUCAUUUGAUAGGGAAGACAAUUGUGAUACAAUGAUGCUAUGUGAAACCCAACCUAGAAGGUGAAAAGGACAUGGGUUUCUUUUUCAGACACAUCUGUACAUGUCUGAUAGCUCUUUGUCCACAGCAGAGGCCCCUAGGGCAAACUAUUCAGUGUCUCUGAGUCUCAGUUUGCUCAUCUAUGGAUGGAAAUAAUACAACCACAGAGUGAUAAAUAAUUGAGCCAAGCCUUCAUCUUUUUUUUUUUAUCUUUUUUUGGUGAUGCUUCAGGGUAAAGUCGCAUCCUCUUGCUGUACCAAUUAGGUGGAUUCUCCUGAUUACUGGUGAGAAGUGAGAAUUCAAUAAACCAACAAUGAGCAUGAGAGGACCACCAUGGCACUGAACCAGAGCUGUGGAGGGAUCAACUGAGAAUAUUGCUCAGCCAUACAAAGGAAUGAAGUUCUGAGAUGAGCUUCAAGUUGGAUGAGCCCAAGAAGGUCACUCUGUGUUUAAAAAGCCAGACACAAAAGGUUCACCAGGACCUGCAGGAUGAGCAGGAAUGCCUGGACAGGCUGGCCCUGUAUACCCAAAGGGGACAAUGGCUCUGUGGAGAACCUGGACCAAAGGGAGACCCUGGACCACCUGGGCCUCCAGGUAUUCCUGGAUCAGCUGAAAGUGAGGGCCCCUCAGGGAGGCAGGGGAGCAUGGGACCUCCAGGCACACCAGGCCCCAAAGGACACACUGGGCCCAAAGGGCCUGUUGGAGCCAUUGGUCCACAGGACCUUCAGGUGCCAUGGGUUCCCCAGGACUAAAGGGAGAUAGAGGUGAUCCUGGUUAAGAAGGAGCAAAGGGAGAGAGUGGACUUGCAGAGGUCAAUGCUUUCAGGCAGCGGGUGGGAAUUUUAGAGGGACAACUACAACGCCUCCAGAAUGCCUUCUCUCAGUAUAAGAAAGGAGCUCAAGCAGAUGCACAAGACAAGGAGCAGGAUGCGGCCCAUACAGUUCAGCAGACCUUCAUCCAUUUUACCCUUGGUGAGUCCUUAUGACAGACAAGGGGACACCCAACCCAGGAUGCGUUUCUUCCCUCUGUGGGGCCAGGUGUGCAAAUGCCCAGAGAAGAAGCUGCACAGCCCAGGGCAGCAGAGAAUCCAGACAUGAUCCUGAAAGCGGGGGUGGGAUGCUGCUGUGGGGUUCAAGGCUGCUGGGGACCUAUCCUUGGUGUGUGGCCAAGUAUCUCAACCUAAACAUGCCCCUGGGUUUGGCAGUGGCAGGCUGCCCCCAGUAUCUGGCCAAUGCUGGACCCUCCCUUCAUCUGCCUAGGUAUUUAAACCAGAGUUUCUUCCCUAAGCCUGGAUCCUAAGCAGACAGAGGCCUCCUGGAGCACACACCUGAGUGUCCUAUGCCUUUGGGACUUUCCACCAACUGCACCUCCUCCUUCUCUGCUCUUCCUGACGACAGCUUGGAAUCCACAUCAUUCAUCAAGUGAGGUGAAGUGAUUGGGCUUCCCUGGUAGCUCAGCUGGUAAAGAGUCCACUUGCUCUAUGGAAGACCUGGGAUCAGUCCCUGGCUUGGGAAGAACCCCUGGAGAAGGGGAAGGCUACCCACUCCAGUAUUCUGGCCUGGAGAAUUCCAUGGACUGUAUAGUCCAUGGGGUCACAAAGAGUCGGACACGACUGAGCAACUUUCACUUUCAUUCAUCAAACCUCGGUGAUUGAAAAAAGAGUUUCCUGAAGGUGCAGAUCAGGUGAUCUGGUGAGACAUGGGGUUGGCUCCUAAGAACUAAAGCCAAUUAAGUACUGAAGUAAUGGGAUGAGAAAUUCCAGCAGUUUAUGUCUUCCUUCUUGCACAAGCAUAUUUAUAUACCUGUUUGUUCCCUCAUUCCCUGGUAGCUCAGUUGGUAAAGGAUCUGCCUGCAGUGCAGGAGACCUGGGUUCAAUCAAUGGGUUGGGAAGAUCCCCUGGAGAAGGAAAUGGCAAACCACUCCAGUAUUCUUGCCUGGAAAAUCUCAUGGACAGAGGAGCCUGUGGGCUGCAGACCAUGUGGUCAAAAAGAGGUGGGCACGACUGAACAACUAAAACAUCAUGCAGCUGAUACAAAGGAGAAUUUGGGCAUAUGUGCUUGAACACGUGUGUACCUAAAUGCUGUCACUCAGUUGACAUCAUCUACGUAUAUGAACACAAAUGCACACAUAUGCACACCCAUCCAGAUGGACUUUUAGUCCGCCCAUGUACCUUCAGAUGGACACACAGAUAUAUUCACACAUGUACACGCAUACCCACCAGAUGCAUGGAUGUAACAUAAUCAUGGCACACGAGCUUACACUGACCUUGUCCAAGGCUGUCUGGGUGCCAUCCUAACUCCAUGGAAAAUCUGGUCUCCAACUGCUUGUUGAAGCUACUCAGACAAAAAGGGCAUGUGUUCAGAACACAGCCUGAGUUCUGAACCAGUCCAGUAAGCCCUCAUAGGAGCCCUGAAGAUUUCCAUGCAUGACCCUGGAAGUCAGAGGGGUGUGGAUGGGAUGGAAUAAAAUGAGAUACUUAACACAGAACUUAUAGGGGAUGCUGUUAUAUAGUGUUUCUUCCUUAGAAAUGAGAGCUUAGACUCUGAAAAGGUAAAUGAUUUUCCUUGUCACUUGGGCUGUUAUUGCCAGGGUGGAGCUUAACACAUGGCCUUCUGAGGCCCAGACAGGGCUCUCUCCAAAGCUGAUCCCACCCUGCCCUCCUGCCCCCACAUAGAGCUCUCAGAUGCCGUCAUCCCCUGCCCAGUGGUCCAGGGAGGCUGACUGGCUAUAGGAUCACCUGCAAGCAAAUGGAAGCCAACACUGGACUGCCCCCAGUGCAGAGGUCAGCACUUGGCUGCUCUCAGAUGCACCCCUGUCCUCCCCUUUCUCCUCACCCCUUCACACAGCACAGAACAGCUCAGACAACUCCACAUGCCCCGUCAUCGUGCAAGGGUGAGAGUGAGCCGCCUGUUUGGUGUUUUCCACACUCUCAAGAACUGCCCUGGGCUCUACAGUGUCAUUUCCCUGCCAAAGUCCUUCCUAUUUACACAGUAAUUAAAGUCCCGGAUUCUGGUGAAUAACACGGGGAGGAACAGAAAGUGUACAUAGGAGUUUUAGUGUCACAUCCAAUAAGGUAUGAUCCUUACAUCUCUACAUUUGAGAGUUGGGCGACUUUGGCCCUGUCACAUAAACACCUGAGUUCCAGGGUCCUCAUCUGUUGCUCUGGAACUAAGUGCCUCACUUUUGACCUAUCUGGUACCCUGGUACCCUGAUGGCAGGCUGGGGACUCCAGUUGGAUCACAAGGUCUAGGUGCUGCAACAUCCCCAACCUGACUCUCCUCUUCCCCUAGCAGUGCUCUUCCCCAAUGGCCAGGUCGUCCAGGGGAAGAUCUUCAAGAUGGCAGGUGCUGUAAAAUCAUAUUCAGAUGCCCAGCAGGUCUGCAGAGAGGCUAAGGGACAGCUGGCCUCCCCACGCUCUGCAGCCGAGAAGGUGGCUGUGAUACAACUGGCCAGAGCCAAGGACAAUGAUGCUUUCCUGAGCAUGAAUGACAUCUCCAUGGAGAGCAGGUUCACCUACCCCACAGGGGAGUCACUGGUUUAUUCCAACUGGGCCAGCAGGGAGCCCAACAAAAGCAAUGGUGGACAGCCAGAGAACUGUGUGCAGAUCUAUCCUGAGAGCAAGUGAGCAACUCCUCAUGAUCUGCGAAUUUUGAGACCCUCCUCCACCCCAGGGAGGAAGGGGACAGUGCCCAGAGCUGUGAGCUGCCAACAUUCCAAUAAAAAGAUGACCCUCUGCUGCUCAUGGCUUUCCCACUGAGCCAUGGGAUGAGGCCACAAGGCAGGCCUCCUAUGGAACUCCUCCCUCAGAAUAAAGUUUGAACCUGGCCUCACAUCUGGAAGACUUGUCACAAAAAAAGAGGGGCAGCCUGCUGAUUCAGGGGCAAGGCUAAAAGGAGGUCUCCAAGAUGUCCCUGUUGCUAAAUCCAGUAUCUCCUCCUCACCUGGAUAGAUGUCUAGCCCUCUACCUCCGCCAAACAUGGGCUGCCUUUGACUCCACUGAUCACUGCCUGCUCCUUCCCUUUCCUCUUCUGCCUGCAAUUUUCUUUGGUCUCUUUCACUUGUCUCUCCUUGUCUCCUGGGCUUCCACAGAGGGGGAGCAGGAUCCUCAGCUCUGGCUCCCUUCUCUCCUUGCAUUCACUCUAGGCUUGGGCUCAUUCUCUCCCAUGGUUUCAAAUUCCUUCUAUUGAUGCCUCCCCCAGGUAGAGCCCUGUUCAGACCUCUCCCCAAACCCAAGACUCCUCUCAGCAAUGCAAGCUGUAGCCCUGGGGCUUGGAGGUCAUCGUGGCUGUCUCUUGUUGGGAGGGAGGCACCAGCUUCUCUGGCCAGAUUGAAUGGCCUUACACCCAGUAGACUCCCCCCAUCCUUAAUCUUGACCACCCAGGAUCUCUGUCUUCCCAUGAUAAUGUGACUGUGUAUGGCUUAUCAGAGAAUUUACCAUCUGCACAGCCCUAAUCCCUUCUGAAGAUUCAGGCAGAGUGGGUAGAUAGCCAUGUUGAGAUUCAACCCCCAACCUCUUCCUGCUUUGGAAUUUGAGGGAUGUUCAUCUCCACUCUGCCUCAGAGAUAACUGAUUCAAACUCUUCCAUUUUACAUACAUGGAAUCCAAGACACAGAGAGGAAAGGAACCUGCACAGGUAUUAAGGUAGGAGAUAGUGUGCCUCUUGGCAGGACAACUGAUGUUUGUCAACUCAAAUAAAAUUCAAGCUUUGUUCUUGUCCAAACAUUCCAAGGACAAAAGUGAAAGUGAAGCCACUCAGUCGUGUCCGACUCUUUGUGACCCCAUGGAAACCGCUAGGCUCUUCCAUGCAUGGAAUUUUCCAGGCAAGAGUACUGGAGUGGUUGCCAUUUCCUUCUCCAGGAGAUCUUGCUGAUCCAGGGUCAAAGCUAGUGGCAAAAGCUGAGCUCUGCUAAAGCAAAGAGAGAAGUUGCCUACUCCUGAGUUCAACAAAGACUUCCCUGUCUACACAAGCACAGGAAGACUUUUUGGGGGAUCUAAAAGGGAGGGGGUCCCACCCCAUAUUAAACAUGGAUACAUACCCAUAGGCCUCUGCAGUGGGAUCUAACUAAGAAAACAGUUUCACAUGUACCAUUUGAGGGUCCAUGGACCAGUCAGGUAUGAAUAAAAUUAACAAGAUAAUUGGCCAAAGGCAAACAAAGACCCUGAAGGACUGUCCUAUAUAUAAGUCAUUUAUGUCACUUCUUUACUGCUCUCCCCCUCAUUCAGAAAGCCUGCACUCCACCACGGGUGUGUGUCUCUGCUUAGCUCUGACUUACUGCACGCCUCCUCUUUAGAGAGGAUGCCCAUACCCUUUCUCUCUAGGGGUGUAUUUCUGCCUUCUUCUGUCUUAAAUAAACAACCUGCUUCUCUGUGUGCUCUGCCAUGCAUUGUGCUGUGUCUCUAAUAAUAAACAUUUUAUCUAUUUACAGUUUUUGCCUCCUUGAAACAUUCUUGCUUUCAAAUGGGGGAAGGAGCCAGAGUCACUUUGCUUCUAGCCUUUAGUCCCUGGUGGUGUGUUGUCUAGGAUUCCUGGGCUUUCAUCCAGGGUACCCAGGUUCCAUCCCUGGGCAGGGAACUAAGAUAUCCCUUCAGGAGUGCUCACUGCUCUCCCUCCAAGAUUAGGAGCACUGGUGCUGCAACUCACUCAUGAAAAAGGCCAUCUGACCCCAGAACUUACACUUUGGGUUUGUAAAUUUUUAGAUCAAUGCAUCUGUAUACUUAAUUGAUUACACUGACAAUGUACUGCAAAGAAAAAUUUAAAACGACAUCUGUACUUCAGAAAUUGGAAUGAGGCCUGAAUGAGCCACAGGCUCAUGGGAAGGGGUGAUGAAUACCCCUCCUCCAGACAGGAAACCAGCCACUUUUCCCUUUGUUCCCAGGGACCAGGAGGACUGACCUCUCUGGCCCUUUCUGAAUAGACCCCAAUCCCCACCCCUCUUCCCAACACACUUGCAGCCACACUGAGUAUAUGGGACAGCACAUCUGAAAACAAAGCCACACCUCUCAACAGCAUGCAGCUCAGGCUCCUGAUAAGAUCUUUCUCCUGUUACUGAAGAUAUCCUGGUAGUAUCUGAAAUAUCAACAAUUACGCUAUAGUGAGCAAACAGCUCUCCAGUACAAAGACCUCACUUGGUCAUUCUUAUCCGGGAGUUUAGACAGCCUGUUUUUAUCACAAAUAAGACAAACAAUUGGAUCUAGUUAAGCUCAAGGGAGAUAUUUUUUUCUGAGAAUGGAGAAUUUUGAAUUGAUUUGCGAAGGACUGGGGGGCACAGGCAAACUGUGCCACCUCCCUGGCUUCUGCCUCUCUCUGCCCAUCCUCACCUCUCGGUUAUCAGUUGGGAAAGGGUGAGGGUGAUACAGAGGUGUGAGAGCUGGAGGCAGAGACCACUGGACGUAAGAUAGGCUCGAGGUGGCGUUGCACAACGUGAAGAAUACAGCCAACAUUGGGUAGCACCUGUGAGUAGAAAGUAAUCUUUAAAAUUGUAUAAAAACACAAAAUUUAAACAAAAGUUAAACAUUUGGUUCACAGGAGUUUCUUUGUUUAGAUUUGAUUCCAAAUGCAGCAAGAGGAAACUAGAAUGAUUAUUUGCCCAGUAGAAUGUAUUGGUAAUUGUGUCCUUUCGUUUCAAUGAAAUUUUAUUAGACAACAUUUUGAAACCUGUUUUAUGUUCUGUAUGCUCUUGGCUAUGAGGAGAUACCAGGUCAAGUGAAGACAGACACCCACUGACACAACAAUAGGUUAUAGGCUGGGGGAGGUAGAGGCUGAAGCAUCAGGACACAAAGUAAUAGACUAAACAAAUUGAGAGAAUGUCAUGAGAUGGGUCAUGUUACUGAUUGAAGACAUCUUCUAUCCUUUUCUGUCUGAAAGGCAAAACUUAGAUGCAUAUUAUGUGAAUAGAGCUAAAGUAGACAUCAUUCAAUUUUGAGUUCACAAUAUUUCCUAAAAGGAGCAUGAGGUCCUGACCCACUGUGGACAGUUGUAUCAAUAACCUGUCAAGGUAGUUUAAUUUUUGACAGGAGUACUUGGCUUGGAGAAGGCAAUGGCACCCCACUCCAGUACUCUUGCCUGGAAAAUCCCAUGGAUGGAGGAGCCUGGUAGGCUGCAGUCCAUGGAGUCGCUAAGAGUCGGACACGACUGAGU